GACAGAGGGGGCAAGCGUUGCUCGGAAUCACUGGGCGUAAAGGGCGCGUAGGCGGGAUGGCAAGUCAGACGUGAAAUCUCUCGGCUCAACCGAGAAACGUCGGCUGAUACUGCCGUUCUUGAGGGAUGCAGAGGAGACUGGAAUUCCCGGUGUAGCGGUGAAAUGUGUAGAGAUCGGGAGGAACACCGGUGGCGAAGGCGGGUCUCUGGGCAUCUCCUGACGCUGAGGCGCGAAAGCGUGGGGAGCAAACGGG
rnacentral:rRNA from 1 species